UACGUAGGGUGCAAGCGUUAAUCGGAAUUACUGGGCGUAAAGCGUGCGCAGGCGGUUUUGUAAGUCUGUCGUGAAAUCCCCCGGGCUCAACCUGGGAAUUGCGAUGGAGACUGCAAGGCUAGAAUCUGGCAGAGGGGGGUAGAAUUCCACGUGUAGCAGUGAAAUGCGUAGAGAUGUGGAGGAACACCGAUGGCGAAGGCAGCCCCCCUGGGUCAAGAUUGACGCU
rnacentral:rRNA from 1 species